AUUGAACGCUGGCGGCAUGCCUUACACAUGCAAGUCGAACGGCAGCACGGGAGCAAUCCUGGUGGCGAGUGGCGAACGGGUGAGUAAUAUAUCGGAACGUGCCCAGUCGUGGGGGAUAACGUAGCGAAAGCUACGCUAAUACCGCAUACGAUCUAUGGAUGAAAGCGGGGGAUCGCAAGACCUCGCGCGAUUGGAGCGGCCGAUAUCAGAUUAGGUAGUUGGUGAGGUAAAGGCUCGCCAAGCCGACGAUCUGUAGCUGGUCUGAGAGGACGACCAGCCACACUGGGACUGAGACACGGCCCAGACUCCUACGGGAGGCAGCAGUGGGGAAUUUUGGACAAUGGGNGCAAGCCUGAUCCAGCAAUNCCGCGUGCAGGAUGAAGGCCUGGUUGUAAGUAGUACUUUGUACGGUACGAAACCGGUAGGA
rnacentral:rRNA from 1 species